rnacentral:rRNA from 1 species
GAUCCUGGCUCAGGAUAACGCUGGCGGCGUGCUUAACACAUGCAAGUCUAACGGAGUGGUUCUCCCGAGGAUUGACGGUGCUUGCACCUGAUUGACUCAUUUGAAUCACUUAGUGGCGGACGGGUGAGUAACGCGUGGGAAACCUGCCCUAUACUGGGGGAUAGCAGUUGGAAACGACUGAUAAUACCGCAUAAGCGCACAGGACCGCAUGGUCUAGUGUGAAAAACUCCGUUUUUUAUAGGAUGUUUUCCGCGUCUGAUUAGCUAGUUGGUGAGGUAACGGCCCACCAAGGCGACGAUCAGUAGCCGGCCUGAGAGGGUGUACGGCCACAUUGGGACUGAGACACGGCCCAAACUCCUACGGGAGGCAGCAGUGGGGAAUAUUGGACAAUGGGGGAAACCCUGAUCCAGCGACGCCGCGUGAACGAUGAAGUAUUUCGGUAUGUAAAGUUCUAUCAGCAGGAAGAUAUGACGGUACCUGACUAAGAAGCACCGGCUAAAUACGUGCCAGCAGCCGCGGUAUACGUAUGGUGCAGCGUUAUCCGGAUUUACUGGUGUAAGGGGCGCAGACGGAUAGCAGUCUGAUGAAACCACGCUCACUGUGGGCUUGCUUGGAACUCUCAUGCCUUGAUCACUGGAGGGAACCGGAUAUCUGGUGUAGGUGUAUAUUUGUAUAUCAAGGAAACACAUUGGGAAAGGGGUGUCCCGGAUAG